AUUGAACGCUAGCGGGAUGCUUUACACAUGCAAGUCGAACGAGUGGCGGACGGGUGAGUAAUAUAUCGGAACGUGCCCAGUAGCGGGGGAUAACUACUCGAAAGAGUGGCUAAUACCGCAUACCAUCGGAGCGGCCCAUAUCGGAUUAGAUAGUUGGUGGGGUAAAGGCUCACCAAGGCAACGAUCCGUAGCUGGUGUGAGAGGACGACCAGCCCAACUGGGACUGAUACACGGCCCAGACUCCUACGGGAGGCAGCAGUGUGGAAUCUUGGACAAUGGGGGCAACCCUUAUUCAGCCAUCCCGCGUGUAUGAGAAGGCCUUCGGGUUGUAAAGUACUUUUGGCAGGGGAUCGGUAUCUGCAGAAUAAGCACCGGCUAACUACGUGCCAGCAGCCGCGGUAAUAC
rnacentral:rRNA from 1 species